rnacentral:rRNA from 1 species
UACGUAGGGUGCAAGCGUUGUCCGGAAUUAUUGGGCGUAAAGAGCUCGUAGGCGGUCUGUCGCGUCUGCUGUGAAAACUCGGGGCUUAACCCCGGGCCUGCAGUGGGUACGGGCAGACUAGAGUGCGGUAGGGGAGACUGGAAUUCUCGGUGUAGCGGUGAAAUGCGUAGAUAUCAAGAGGAACACCUGCGGCGAAGGCGGGUUGCUGGGCUGACACUGACGCUGAGGCGCGAAAGCCAGGGGAGCGAACGGG